rnacentral:rRNA from 1 species
AGUGAACGCUGGCGGUAGGCCUAACACAUGCAAGUCGAACGGCAGCACAGUAAGAGCUUGCUCUUACGGGUGGCGAGUGGCGGACGGGUGAGGAAUACAUCGGAAUCUACUUUUUCGUGGGGGAUAACGUAGGGAAACUUACGCUAAUACCGCAUGCGACCUACGGGUGAAAGCAGGGGAUCUUCGGACCUUGCGCGAUUGAAUGAGCCGAUGUCGGAUUAGCUAGUUGGCGGGGUAAAGGCCCACCAAGGCGGCGAUCCGUUGCUGGUCCGAGAGGAUGGUCAGCCACACUGGAACGUGGACAGGGUCCAGACUCCUACGAGAGGCAGCAGUGGGGAAUAGUGGACAGUGGGCGGAAGCCUUAUCCAGCCGUACCGCGUGGGUGAAGAAGGCCUUCGGGUUGUAAAGCCCUUUUGUUGGGAAAGAAAAGCAGCAGGUUAAUACCCCGCUGUUCUGACGGUACCCAAAGAAUAAGCACCGGCUAACUACGUG